rnacentral:misc_RNA from 1 species
UUGCGUCUGUUGGCGACGAAGGCUGGAACUGGAAGCAGCGCAUGCCCUAGCCUAGCUAGCCCGGUAGUCAGCUCCAUGCGCUUUGGCGAUGCUGGUGGCCGAGCCAGGCCAAACAGAAGGCUCUUGUCUCGGGCGCAGGGUUGUCGCAGUGCAGGCAGCUGGCCGCCCUGGCCCCCGCGUCGUCGUAUAUCCUUCCACCUGAGCUGA